rnacentral:rRNA from 1 species
AUUGAACGCUGACGGCAUGCCUUACACAUGCAAGUCGAACGGUAACAGGUCUUCGGAUGCUGACGAGUGGCGAACGGGUGAGUAAUACAUCGGAACGUGCCUAGUAGUGGGGGAUAACUACUCGAAAGAGGGGCUAAUACCGCAUGAGAUCUACGGAUGAAAGCAGGGGAUCGCAAGACAUUGCGCUACUAGAGCGGCCGAUGGCAGAUGAGGGAGUUGGUGGGAUAAAAGCUUACCAAGCCGACGAUCUGUAGCUGGUCUGAGAGGACGAUCAGCCACACUGGGACUGAGACACGGCCCAGACUCCUACGGGAGGCAGCAGUGGGGAAUUUUGGACAAUGGGCGAAAGCCUGAUCCAGCAAUGCCGCGUGCAGGAUGAAGGCCUUCGGGUUGUAAACUGCUUUUGUACGGAACGAAAAGCCCCGGGUUAAUACCCUGGGGUCAUGACGGUACCGUAAGAAUAAGCACCGGCUAACUACGUGCCAGCCGCCGCCGUAA